GAUGAACGCUAGCGGCAGGCUUAAUACAUGCAAGUCGAGGGGCAGCAUGACUGUAGCAAUACAGUUGAUGGCGACCGGCAAACGGGUGCGGAACACGUACAGAACCUUCCUUCAAGCGGGGAAUAGCCCAGAGAAAUUUGGAUUAAUACCCCAUAGCAUUACGAAGUGGCAUCACUUUGUACUUAAAGAUUUAUCACUUGAAGAUGGCUGUGCGGCUGAUUAGGUAGUUAGCGGGGUAACGGCCCACCAAGCCUGCGAUCAGUAACUGGUGGGAGAGCACGAACAGCGACACGGGAACUGAGACACAGGCCCGACUCCUACGGGAGGCAGCAGUAAGGAAUAUUGGUCAAUGGACGAAAGUCUGAACCGGCCAUGUCGCGUGGAGGAUGAAGGUCCUCUGGAUUGUAAACUUCCUUUAUAGGGGACGAAAAAGGGUCUUUCUAGAUCAACUGACGGUACCAUGUGAAUAAGCACCGGCUAACUCCGUGCCAGCCGCCGCGGUAAAAC
rnacentral:rRNA from 1 species